rnacentral:antisense_RNA from 1 species
CUUGAUCGAACCGAGCCACAGCGGCCGCUCGCGGUCCCGGCCGUACGCGGCGAUCAGCGCCUGCGCCUC